CCUACGGGAGGCAGCAGUGAGGAAUAUUGGUCAAUGGGCGUAAGCCUGAACCAGCCAAGUCGCGUGAGGGAUGAAGGUUCUCUGGAUCGUAAACCUCGUUUAUAAGGGAAUAAAGUGCGGGUCGUGUCCCGCUUUGUAUGUACCUUAUGAAUAAGGAUCGGAUAACUCCGUGCCAGCAGCCGCGGUAAUACGGAGGAUCCGAGCGUUAACCGGAUUUAUUGGGUUUAAGGGGUGCGUAGGCGGCAUUUUAAGUCAACGGCGAAAUUCUCUGGCUCAACCAUAGAAUUGCCGUUGAAACUGGGAGGCUUGAGUAUGUGAGAGGAUAGCGGAAUGCGUGGUGUAGCGGUGAAAUCCGUAGAUAUCUCGCAGAACAUCGAUUGCGAAGGCAACCUGCCAGGACAUGACUGACGCUGAUGCACGAAAGCGUGGGGAGCAAACAGGAUUAGAUACCCGAGUAGUC
rnacentral:rRNA from 1 species